rnacentral:rRNA from 1 species
GGUGAGUAACACGUUGAUAACCUACCUAUAAGACUGGGAUAACUUCGGGAAACCGGAGCUAAUACCGGAUAAUAUAUUGAACCGCAUGGUUCAAUAGUGAAAGACGGUUUUGCUGUCACUUAUAGAUGGAUCCGCGCCGCAUUAGCUAGUUGGUAAUGUAACGGCUUACCAAGGCGACGAUGCGUAGCCGACCUGAGAGGGUGAUCGGCCACACUGGAACUGAGACACGGUCCAG